GAUGGUCUUGAAUCUCACCCCUGGAUGAGAUAACAGAGGAGGCAGAACAACUCUCAUUUGCUGGCUUUGACAUUUUCUAUUACUUGCACAAAUAUUUCUCAAACCUCUCUGGAAAAGGCCUGGGGUUUAGGGGAGGGGAUAGCACAACCACCACAAUAAACCCCACAGCCCUCCAGCCCAUGCGCUGCCACCUAGCGGCACCCCAGCCACAAAGACCAGCCGCACCUCGGGUUCCUCCAACUUUCCAACCAGUGCCUACAACCUAGACUAGAAACUUACUCAAGCAACGUCUUCAAUUUACACAGUCACCUGCAAAAUGUUACAUGGUCCAAGAACAGAAAAGGGCCUCGACGGGAGCCUGGAGUCUGGGUACCAGCCCCUAGCUGGUGCAGAGCACACACGGCACUGACUUCGCUAUAGUGUGUGCGCCCCUGUGGCCAUCUUCUCCAGGAGGAAAGCUGUUGUGGCUGCGUAGCUGCAGGCUCCAAGCAGACCAGAGACUCUGGACAGGAAGAGAAAGAAAAAGCCCCGAAGCUGCAAGAAGGCUAAAGUUCUUUCACUACGUCUGCUUUUAUAAAUGCCUCCUCUCAGAACAGCCUUCACGAUGCCUAAUCUACACUCUGGCGCAGGAUCGCUCCAAUUUCAUUUUUUGGAUUAAACUUGAGAUAAUGAUAGAUUCAUUUCUGCUUUACCCAGUUUCCCCACAAUAGUACCAUUCUCAA